rnacentral:rRNA from 1 species
AUUGAACGCUGGCGGCAGGCCUAACACAUGCAAGUCGAACGAGUGGCAGACGGGUGAGUAAUGUCUGGGAAACUGCCUGAUGGAGGGGGAUAAAUUCUAGAAACGGUCGCUAAUGGCUCAAACCAUCGGAUGUGCCCAGAUGGGAUUCGAUAGUAGGUGGGGUAAAGGCUCACCUAGGCGACGCUCCCUAGCUGGUCUGAGAGGAUGACCAGCCACACUGGAACUGAGACACGGUCCAGACUCCUACGGGAGGCAGCAGUGGGGAAUAUUGCACAAUGGGCGCAAGCCUGAUGCAGCCAUGCCGCGUGUAUGAAGAAGGCCUUCGGGUUGUAAAGUACUUUCAGCGGGGAGGCGUUACCCGCAGAAGAAGCACCGGCUAACUCCGUGCCAGCAGCCGCGGUAAUUC